rnacentral:rRNA from 1 species
UACGGAGGGGGCCAGCGUUGUUCGGAAUCAUUGGGCGUAAAGGGCGCGUAGGUGGCCGUGCAAGUCGGGGGUGAAAGCCCUCGGCUCAACCGAGGAACCGCCUCUGAUACUGCACGGCUUGAGUCCCGGAGAGGGUGGUGGAAUUCCCAGUGUAGCGGUGAAAUGCGUAGAUAUUGGGAGGAACACCGGUGGCGAAGGCGGCCACCUGGACGGGUACUGACGCUGAGGAGCGAAAGCGUGGGGAGCAAACAGG